rnacentral:lncRNA from 1 species
CCACAAUGUUUUUUUUUUUUUUUAAGAAUUCAUCCAAACUGGAGAAGCACUGCACAUGAGUAAACAUAUAUGAAAAACUGAGACAGUAGAGGCACAACCUUGUUGGGACAUCCUCCCUUUCCCUUCUAUACCGUGCUCUCCGUCUUGGAGCCACUGGUCCCUCCAGCCUCCGCUAGUCCUCCAGAGACAUUCGUGAAAGAGAUUGGACCCCUUAGAGGAUGCCACUGUCCACUUGGUAAGAGAGCCCUUCCAGGCUCCCACAUUGAAAACCCCAGCAGUGUCAGCAGAAUGAGAAAGUUGGGCAUUAGAAAGAAAAAAAAGAAAGAAAGAAAAAAAAAAACAAGGCCAACUAAAGGAUCAGCUAAAGCGCAUAGCUGAGAAAGAAAAACAGAAAUGGCAAGUUGAAACUGAAGAGAAUGGCGGAGCAGAUCCUCAGAAAGAUCCUGGGGUACGCAGGAAGGCAGAGAGGGUCAGGGAGGGACUGAGCAAGGAGUGCGGUGAUCUUACAUCCAAAGAGAUGGUACCUUGCUAUUCAUGUAUACAUUUUUUAAAAUGUUGCCUUUUAUUUAACUUACAACAACACAGUAAAAUAAUUAUCAUACAACAAACAAAACCAGUAUGUCUGACAAACACUAGUCAUUUCUUGAUAGUGGCGAUAGGGCUGUGUGUUCACAGGGGGCUGGCCGGGGAGACCCUGCU